UCCUCCAAGGCUAAAUACUCCUGACUGACCGAUAGUGAACCAGUACCGUGAGGGAAAGGCGAAAAGAACCCCGGCGAGGGGAGUGAAAAAGAACCUGAAACCGUGUACGUACAAGCAGUGGGAGCACGCUUAGGCGUGUGACUGCGUACCUUUUGUAUAAUGGGUCAGCGACUUAUAUUCUGUAGCAAGGUUAACCGAAUAGGGGAGCCGAAGGGAAACCGAGUCUUAACUGGGCGUUAAGUUGCAGGGUAUAGACCCGAAACCCGGUGAUCUAGCCAUGGGCAGGUUGAAGGUUGGGUAACACUAACUGGAGGACCGAACCGACUAAUGUUGAAAAAUUAGCGGAUGACUUGUGGCUGGGGGUGAAAGGCCAAUCAAACCGGGAGAUAGCUGGUUCUCCCCGAAAGCUAUUUAGGUAGCGCCUCGUGAAUUCAUCUCCGGGGGUAGAGCACUGUUUCGGCAAGGGGGUCAUCCCGACUUACCAACCCGAUGCAAACUGCGAAUACCGGAGAAUGUUAUCACGGGAGACACACGGCGGGUGCUAACGUCCGUCGUGAAGAGGGAAACAACCCAGACCGCCAGCUAAGGUCCCAAAGUCAUGGUUAAGUGGGAAACGAUGUGGGAAGGCCCAGACAGCCAGGAUGUUGGCUUAGAAGCAGCCAUCAUUUAAAGAAAGCGUAAUAGCUCACUGGUCGAGUCGGCCUGCGCGGAAGAUGUAACGGGGCUAAACCAUGCACCGAAGCUGCGGCAGCGACGCUUAUGCGUUGUUGGGUAGGGGAGCGUUCUGUAAGCCUGCGAAGGUGUGCUGUGAGGCAUGCUGGAGGUAUCAGAAGUGCGAAUGCUGACAUAAGUAACGAUAAAGCGGGUGAAAAGCCCGCUCGCCGGAAGACCAAGGGUUCCUGUCCAACGUUAAUCGGGGCAGGGUGAGUCGACCCCUAAGGCGAGGCCGAAAGGCGUAGUCGAUGGGAAACAGGUUAAUAUUCCUGUACUUGGUGUUACUGCGAAGGGGGGACGGAGAAGGCUAUGUUGGCCGGGCGACGGUUGUCCCGGUUUAAGCGUGUAGGCUGGUUUUCCAGGCAAAUCCGGAAAAUCAAGGCUGAGGCGUGAUGACGAGGCACUACGGUGCUGAAGCAACAAAUGCCCUGCUUCCAGGAAAAGCCUCUAAGCAUCAGGUAACAUCAAAUCGUACCCCAAACCGACACAGGUGGUCAGGUAGAGAAUACCAAGGCGCUUGAGAGAACUCGGGUGAAGGAACUAGGCAAAAUGGUGCCGUAACU
rnacentral:rRNA from 1 species